GAUGAAGAACGUAGUGAAAUGCGAUAAGUAGUGUGAAUUGCAGAAUUCAGUGAAUCAUCGAAUCUUUGAACGCACAUUGCGCCCCUUGGUAUUCCAUGGGGCAUGCCUGUUCGAGCGUCAUUUGUACCUUCAAGCUCUGCUUGGGGUUGGGUGUUUGUCUCGCCUCUGCGUGUAGACUCGCCUCAAAACAAUUGGCAGCCGGCGUAUUGAUUUCGGAGCGCAGUACAUCUCGCGCUUUGCACUCAUAACGACGACGUCCAAAAGUACAUUUUUACACUCUUGACCUCGGAUCAGGUAGGGAUACCCGCUGAACUUAAGCAUAUCAAUAAGCGGAGGA
rnacentral:misc_RNA from 1 species